GGAAAAGGAUUUAUUCGCUUUAGGAUGGACUCGCGUCCAAUUAGCUAGUUGGUGAGGUAACGGCCCACCAAGGCGACGAUUUGGUAGCCGGACUGAGAGGUUGAACGGCCACAUUGGGACUGAGACACGGCCCAGACUCCUACGGGAGGCAGCAGUGGGGGAUAUUGCACAAUGGGGGAAACCCUGAUGCAGCGACGCCGCGUGGAGGAAGAAGGUUUUCGGAUUGUAAACUCCUGUCGUUAGGGACGAUAAUGACGGUACCUAACAAGAAAGCACCGGCUAACUACGUGCCAGCAGCCGCGGUAAAACGUAGGGUGCAAGCGUUGUCCGGAAUUACUGGGUGUAAAGGGAGCGCAGGCGGGAAGACAAGUUGGAAGUGAAAACCAUGGGCUCAACCCAUGAAUUGCUUUCAAAACUGUUUUUCUUGAGUAGUGCAGAGGUAGAUGGAAUUCUCGGUGUAGCGGUGGAAUGCGUAGAUAUCGGGAGGAACACCAGUGGCGAAGGCGGUCUACUGGGCACCAACUGACGCUGAGGCUCGAAAGCAUGGGUAGCAAACAGGAUUAGAUACCCUGGUAGUCCAUGCCGUAAACGAUGAUUACUAGGUGUGGGGGGAUUGACCCCCUCAGUGCCGCAGUUAACACAAUAAGUAAUCCACCUGGGGAGUACGACCGCAAGGUUGAAACUCAAAGGAAUUGACGGGGGCCCGCACAAGCAGUGGAGUAUGUGGUUUAAUUCGAAGCAACGCGAAGAACCUUACCAGGUCUUGACAUCCGAUGCAUAGCACAAAGAUGUGUGAAAUCCUUCGGGACAUCGAGACAGGUGGUGCAUGGUUGUCGUCAGCUCGUGUCGUGAGAUGUUGGGUUAAGUCCCGCAACGAGCGCAACCCUUAUUGCCAGUUACUACGUAAGAGGACUCUGGCGAGACUGCCGUUGACAAAACGGAGGAAGGUGGGGAUGACGUCAAAUCAUCAUGCCCUUUAUGACCUGGGCUACACACGUACUACAAUGGCGUUUAACAAAGAGAAGCAAGACCGCGAGGUGGAGCAAAACUCAAAAACAACGUCUCAGUUCAGAUUGCAGGCUGCAACUCGCCUGCAUGAAGUCGGAAUUGCUAGUAAUCGCGGAUCAGCAUGCCGCGGUGAAUACGUUCCCGGGCCUUGCACUCACCGCCCGUCA
rnacentral:rRNA from 1 species